GUUAUCGUGUGAUACAAUCCUUCUAUUGUGAGUCUCGACUAGACAGAGGUUACGAAAAAUUUAUCAAAUUUCAUCGUCAAUCAUAUACUAGAUUGGCUCGACUCGAGUUCAUUUGUGAAUUCUGUGAAAACUCUUUUUCAAUAUUCACACUUGCUCUUAUCAGAAACUUCCUGAACUUAGUCUUACGAAUCGCAUAGGACUAUUUCUUUUCUACCAAGAUCGAUAGAUUUCAUCUAGGUGCAUCCUACUCCAAACAGCAAACUUGAAUCUACAAUAGCCAACAUACAUCGUAAGGAUCCGAAUGGCUCGGGACCAAAAGAACGUACAGUCAAACGAAGUAGCCUCGCUACGAAUAGCCAACACACCACA
rnacentral:lncRNA from 1 species